UACUUCGCCUUCCAUUGCCUAGGGAAAAAACCCGGAUGUAAACUCUGCGAAACUCGUUCGGAGUGAAGUAACUCCGUGCAACUCAGCAUAGCGCAAACAACUAUGCCGAACAAUCCAUCGCGGUGUGUGAACACUUUCGUCGCUACGUGUGUUUUCCUGCCAACGAAGCAUAAAGAAAGCUCCACCCAACAGAGAACACAACGAAAGGACGCAAGGAUGGAAGAAUCAAGGAAACGAGUGUCAGUUUGAAGCCCUGUCAAUUACAGAAGCAGAAGAUUGGGACAGGUGGAUCCACAGAUUGAUCAUUUAUAUGUCAUGCAUUCAGAAAAAGAAGAAGAAAAGAAGAAGACGUGGAGGGGGGCAUGGGAGGUUGGGAGGUUUACAGAGGAGGCAGAAGAUGUGAUGGUGGGGGGGGGGGGGGCAGGGGCAGUACGGUGGCAGCUAUUUUCACAUUGCUCAUUGUUUGAAUAAAACAGAAAGGAGCCAAUCAAGCUGCAUGCGGUGGAGCAAUGCGGACGUACGGCAGCAGGUUUGGCGUAGAAGUGUGGGAAAUAGGCCAAGGAGAGACAGCCAGCAAUCAGUACCUGUACUGAUACAAAUACAGGCCAUGUCCUCUCCAUGGGCCCUCCGCCUCUGUGUCAGUCAGCUGGCAGCCAUGCCACCUCUAUUUCCAUCCUGCAGAAAAGCAACACACAAUCAGUGCCAUCACGCUGUCGUCAGAAGCGCAGCUUUGUCAGGCCAUUAUUGUUUCCCCAAUGAAUCAAUCUCAUUUUGUCUUUGUUAUUGCCAUAAUGUAGCACUCUGGUGACAGCAUUUUGUGGUGUUAUGUACUGUUCUUGUUCUGUUUUUGAGGGAUCUGCAAUUUCUGCUGUUGAUUACCCUGCCACAACCGUUUGCUGUGUUGUGCUGUUCAUAAAACUGUGGCAACACUUCCAUGCUAAAACAGAAUGAGAUACACAGAAACCUGAAAAUAAGUUUUCAAAUAGGCUUCAAUUAGAUCUUAUUUUCCUUUGGGGAAAAUGGCAUCCCUACACAAUCAAACCAUGGAAUAAUAUGUAAUGCAUUUUUUUUCCAUCAUAGAUAAAACAAUAAAUAUGUGAAUACCUCAGACCUGUUGCCGAGCCAAGAGAUUAUCCCUUUGUUCCAUCCUUGACAGUUAUCCCUUUGUUUUCACUCUUGACAGUUAUCCCUUUGUUUUCACCCUUGACAGUUAUCCUUUUGUUUUCACUAUUGACAGUUAUGCCUUUGUUUUCACCCUUGACAGUUAUCCCUUUGUUUUCACCCUUAGCAGUUAUCCUUUUGUUUUCACCCAUGACAAUUAUCCCUUUGUUUUCACUCUUGACAGUUAUCCCUUUGUUUUCACCCUUGACAGUUAUCCUUUUGUUUUCACCCUUGACAGUUAUCCCUUUGUUUUUGCCCUUAGCAGUUAUCCCUUUAUUUCACCCAUGACAGUUAUCCCUUUGUUUUCACCCUUGACAGUUAUCCUUUUGUUUUUACCCUUGACAGUUAUCCCUUUGUUUUUGCCCUUAGCAGUUAUCCCUUUAUUUCACCCAUGACAGUUAUCCCUUUGUUUUCACCCUUGACAGUUAUCCUUUUGUUUCCACACUUGGCAGUUGUUUCUUUAUUCUCACAGUUGGCAGUUAUCCCUUUGUUUUGUUUUUCUGAGGAAAAGGCAUAGCACUGGAUUGCACUUUCCUUAAUGUCAAAAGAGAGCUGCUUCUGUCCUCACGGAUGAAAAUUGAUGCUUAUUUUUAUUGUUGAGCAGCAAAAUAAAAAUGAGCAACAGCUGAGAA